AUUGAACGCUGGCGGAAUGCUUUACACAUGCAAGUCGAACGGCAGCACGGGGGCAACCCUGGUGGCGAGUGGCGAACGGGUGAGUAAUACAUCGGAACGUGCCCAGUCGUGGGGGAUAACUACGCGAAAGCGUAGCUAAUACCGCAUACGAACUCAGGUUGAAAGCGGGGGAUCGCAAGACCUCGCCCGAUUGGAGCGGCCGAUGGCAGAUUAGGUAGUUGGUGGGGUAAAGGCUCACCAAGCCGACGAUCUGUAGCUGGUCUGAGAGGACGACCAGCCACACUGGGACUGAGACACGGCCCAGACUCCUACGGGAGGCAGCAGUGGGGAAUUUUGGACAAUGGGCGCAAGCCUGAUCCAGCCAUUCCGCGUGCAGGAUGAAGGCCCUCGGGUUGUAAACUGCUUUUGUACGGAACGAAACGCGCCGGGUUAAUACCCUGGCGUAAUGACGGUACCGUAAGAAUAAGCACCGGCUAACUACGUGCCAGCCGCCGCCGUAAUAC
rnacentral:rRNA from 1 species